ensembl:lncRNA
GGCACAACUGCAGACAAAGGGCCACUUAACACUUUUGCUAAUGAUUAUAACUUUUCACAAUAUCACUACCCUUUGGUUAUUCAGAAGACAGACAGCAAAGACAGUUUUAUGCCUUGUUGCAAAGUAGAUGACCAUGUGAUCAAAUAUAUUUUGUAUACUGGAAACAAUUUCUUCUCAGCAAGAGCAGUGAGGCAGUGGCACAGGCUGCCCAGGGAGGUGGUGCAGUCACCGUCCCUGGAGGUGUUCAAGAGCCGUGUGGGUGUGGCACUGAGGGAUGUGGUCAAUGGGCAUGGUGGGGUGGGCUGAUGGUUGGACUGGAUGAUCUCAGAGGUCUUUUCCAACCUCUUUGAAUCAAUGAUUCUAUGAAAUUUUUAUGUUCAUUUCUUUCUAAAUAAAACUUCUAAAUAUUUGGUUACUUGCUCACUUCUCAGGCAAUACCCC